rnacentral:rRNA from 1 species
GCAUGUUCACAUGAUUAAAGGUAUUCCGGUAGACGAUGGGGAUGCGUUCCAUUAGAUAGUAGGCGGGGUAACGGCCCACCUAGUCUUCGAUGGAUAGGGGUUCUGAGAGGAAGGUCCCCCACAUUGGAACUGAGACACGGUCCAAACUCCUACGGGAGGCAGCAGUGAGGAAUAUUGGUCAAUGGGCGAGAGCCUGAACCAGCCAAGUAGCGUGAAGGAUGACUGCCCUAUGGGUUGUAAACUUCUUUUAUAAAGGAAUAAAGUCGGGUAUGCAUACCCGUUUGCAUGUACUUUAUGAAUAAGGAUCGGCUAACUCCGUGCCAGCAGCCGCGGUAACACGGAGGAUCCGAGCGUUAUCCGGAUUUAUUGGGUUUAAAGGGAGCGUAGAUGGAUGUUUAAGUCAGUUGUGAAAGUUUGCGGCUCAACCGUAAAAUUGCAGUUGAUACUGGAUAUCUUGAGUGCAGUUGAGGCAGGCGGAAUUCGUGGUGUAGCGGUGAAAUGCUUAGAUAUCACGAAGAACUCCGAUUGCGAAGGCAGCCUGCUAAGCUGCAACUGACAUUGAGGCUCGAAAGUGUGGGUAUCAAACAGGAUUAGAUACCCUGGUAGUCCACACGGUAAACGAUGAAUACUCGCUGUUUGCGAUAUACAGCAAGCGGCC